UGGGGAAUUUUGGACAAUGGGCGAAAGCCUGAUCCAGCAAUGCCGCGUGUGUGAAGAAGGCCUUCGGGUUGUAAAGCACUUUUGUCCGGAAAGAAAUGGCUCUGGUUAAUACCUGGGGUCGAUGACGGUACCGGAAGAAUAAGGACCGGCUAACUACGUGCCAGCAGCCGCGGUAAUACGUAGGGUCCAAGCGUUAAUCGGAAUUACUGGGCGUAAAGCGUGCGCAGGCGGUUGUGCAAGACCGAUGUGAAAUCCCCGAGCUUAACUUGGGAAUUGCAUUGGUGACUGCACGGCUAGAGUGUGUCAGAGGGGGGUAGAAUUCCACGUGUAGCAGUGAAAUGCGUAGAGAUGUGGAGGAAUACCGAUGUCGAAGGCAGCCCCCUGGGAUAACACUGACGCUCAUGCACGAAAGCGUGGGGAGCAAACAGG
rnacentral:rRNA from 1 species